rnacentral:lncRNA from 1 species
GGUGAACUACUGUAACAGUUCAGUGUGUUAUAGUGUCUCUAUCCUGUUGGUGAACUACUGUAACAGUUCAAUGUGUUAAAGUGUCUCUAUCCUGUUGGUGAACUACUGUAACAGUUCAGUGUGUUAUAGUGUCUCUAGGAGGUGAACUACUGUAACAGUUCAGUGUGUUAUAGUGUCUCUUGGAGGUGAACUACUGUAACAGUUCAGUGUGUUAUAGUGUCUCUAGGAGAUGUACUACUGUAACAGUUCAGUGUGUUCUAG